GACGAACGCUGGCGGCGUGCUUAACACAUGCAAGUCGAACGGAAAGGCCCAGCUUGCUGGGUGCUCGAGUGGCGAACGGGUGAGUAACACGUGGGUGAUCUGCCCCUAACUUCGGGAUAAGCUUGGUAAACUGGGUCUAAUACCGGAUAGGACAAUCGUUUAGUGUCGGUUGUGGAAAGUUUUUUCGGUUAGGGAUGAGCCCGCGGCCUAUCAGCUUGUUGGUGGGGUAAUGGCCUACCAAGGCGUCGACGGGUAGCCGGCCUGAGAGGGUGGACGGCCACAUUGGGACUGAGAUACGGCCCAGACUCCUACGGGAGGCAGCAGUGGGGAAUAUUGCACAAUGGGCGCAAGCCUGAUGCAGCGACGCCGCGUGGGGGAUGACGGCCUUCGGGUUGUAAACCUCUUUCGACAGGGACGAAGCUUUGGUGACGGUACCUGUAUAAGAAGCACCGGCUAACUACGUG
rnacentral:rRNA from 1 species